AACGAACGCUGUCGGCAUGCCUAACACAUGCAAGUCUAACGAGACCUUCGGGCCUCGUGGCGCACGGGUGCGUCACGCGUGGGAAUCUGCCCUUGGGUUCGGCAUAACAGUUGGAAACGACUUCUAAUCCCCGAUGAUGACGUAAGGCCAAACAUUAAUCGACCAAGGAUGAGCCCGCGUAGGAUUAGCUAGUUGGUGAGGUAAAGGCCCACCAAGGCGACGAUCCUUAGCUGGUCUGAGAGGAUGAUCAGCGACAAUGGGACUGAGACACGGCCCAGAAUCGUGAGGGAGGCAGUAGGAGGGAAUAUUGGACAAGGCGAGAAAGCUGUAGGCAGCCACGCUGAGUACGUGAUGAAGGCCCUAGGGUUGCAAAGCCCUCUUACCCGGGACGAUAAUGACAGUCCCGUGAGAAAAAGCUCGGGCUAACCCGGUG
rnacentral:rRNA from 1 species